rnacentral:rRNA from 1 species
AGAAUCAACGCUGGCGGCGUGCCUAACACAUGCAAGUCGAACGAGAAAGUGGAGCAAUCCAUGAGUAAAGUGGCGACCGGGUGAGUAACACGUGACUAACCUACCUUCGAGUGGGGAUAACCUCGGGAAACCGGGCUAAUACCGCAUAAAAUCUUUGGAUCGGAAGAACUGGAGAUCAAUGGAGCAAUUCGCUUGAAGAGGGGGUCGCGGCUGAUUAGCUAGUUGGCGGGUAAUGGCCCACCAAGGCUUUUGAUCGGUA